AGCUUUCUGUAUUCGUGCUGAGAUUUCGUCACACACCAAACCACAAGGGCUGAUGAGACUUCAGAGAUAAGUGAAGCG
rnacentral:pre_miRNA from 1 species